rnacentral:rRNA from 1 species
CACGUAGGGUGCGAGCGUUGUCCGGAAUUAUUGGGCGUAAAGAGCUCGUAGGCGGUGUGUCGCGUCGGCCGUGAAAACCUGCAGCUUAACUGUGGGCUUGCGGUCGAUACGGGCAUCACUGGAGUUCGGCAGGGGAGACUGGAAUUCCUGGUGUAGCGGUGAAAUGCGCAGAUAUCAGGAGGAACACCGGUGGCGAAGGCGGGUCUCUGGGCCGAUACUAACGCUGAGGAGCGAAAGCGUGGGGAGCGAACAGG